AUUGAACGCUGGCGGCAUGCCUUACACAUGCAAGUCGAACGGCAGCACGGGAGCAAUCCUGGUGGCGAGUGGCGAACGGGUGAGUAAUAUAUCGGAACGUGCCCAGUCGUGGGGGAUAACGUAGCGAAAGCUACGCUAAUACCGCAUACGAUCUAUGGAUGAAAGCGGGGGAUCGCAAGACCUCGCGCGAUUGGAGCGGCCGAUAUCAGAUUAGGUUGNGGUGGGGUAAAAGGCCCACCAAGCCGACGAUCUGUAGCUGGUCUGAGAGGACGACCAGCCACACUGGGACUGAGACACCGGCCCAGACUCCUACGGGAGGCAGCAGUGGGGAAUCUUGCUC
rnacentral:rRNA from 1 species